CUUGGGUUUGCUCUUAUCAACUGCCCUCUUCCACUCAGCCCACAGAUUUUCAAUUGGAUUGAGGUCUGGAGACUGAGAUGGCCAUGGCAGAACAUUGAUUUUGUCGUCACAGAACCAUUUCUGUGUGGAUUUUGAGGUAUGUUUCGGGUCAUUGUCUUGUUGGAAAGUCCACCUACGGCCAAGUCCCAGCCCUCUGACAGAGGCAACCAGAUUGUCAGCCCAGAUUACCUGAUACUUGGUGGAAUUCAUUAUGCCAUUUAUCUUAACCAAGAGCCCCUGGACCUCUGGAAUUAAAACAGCCCCAAAACAUCACUGACCCCCCUCCAUAUUUCACCGUGGGUAUGAGGUACCUCUCCUUGUAUGAAUCUCUGUUUCACCGUGGGUAUGAGGUAACUCUCCUGGAAUCUGUUUCACCGUGGGUAUGAGGUAACUCUCCUGGUAUGCAUCUCUGUUUCACCGUGGGUAUGAGGUAACUCUCCUGGUAUCUCUGUUUCACCGUGGGUAUGAGGUGCCUCUCCUGGUAUCUCUGUUUCACCGUGGGUAUGAGGUGACUCUCCUGGUAUGCAUCUCUGUUUCACCGUGGGUAUGAGGUGUCUCUCCUUGUAUCUCUGUUUCACCGUGGGUAUGAGGUGCCUCUCCUUGUAUCUCUGUUUCACCAUGGGUAUGAGGUUCCUCUCCUUGUAUCUCUGUUUCACCGUGGGUAUGAGGUGCCUCUCCUUGUAUCUCUGUUUCACCGUGGGUAUGAGGUGUCUCUCCUUGUAUCUCUGUUUCACCGUGGGUAUGAGGUGCCUCUCCUUGUAUCUCUGUUUCACCGUGGGUAUGAGGUGCCUCUCCUUGUAUCUCUGUUUCACCGUGGGUAUGAGGUGUCUCUCCUUGUAUCUCUGUUUCACCGUGGGUAUGAGGUGCCUCUCCUUGUAUCUCUGUUUCACCGUGGGUAUGAGGUGUCUCUC